rnacentral:rRNA from 1 species
AACGCGUGAGCAACCUACCCAUAUCAGGGGGAUAGCCUCUCGAAAGAGAGAUUAACACCGCAUAACAUCAUUUACCGGCAUCGGUUUUUGAUCAAAUAUUUAUAGGAUAUGGAUGGGCUCGCGUGACAUUAGCUAGUUGGAGAGGUAACGGCUCACCAAGGCUACGAUGUCUAGGGGCUCUGAGAGGAGAAUCCCCCACACUGGUACUGAGACACGGACCAGACUCCUACGGGAGGCAGCAGUAAGGAAUAUUGGUCAAUGGAGGCAACUCUGAACCAGCCAUGCCGCGUGCAGGAUGACUGCCCUAUGGGUUGUAAACUGCUUUUGUCAGGGAAUAAACCUUUCUACGUGUAGAAAGCUGAAUGUACCUGAAGAAUAAGGAUCGGCUAACUCCGUGCCAGCAGCCGCGGUAAUACGGAGGAUCCAAGCGUUAUCCGGAUUUAUUGGGUUUAAAGGGUGCGUAGGCGGUCCUAUAAGUCAGUGGUGAAAGACGGCAGCUUAACUGUCGCAGUGCCUUUGAUACUGUAGGACUUGAAUCUAUUUGAAGUGGGCGGAAUAAGACAAGUAGCGGUGAAAUGCAUAGAUAUGUCUUAGAACUCCGAUUGCGAAGGCAGCUCACUAAGUUAGUAUUGACGCUGAUGCACGAAAGCGUGGGGAUCAAACAGGAUUAGAUACCCUGGUAGUCCACGCCCUAAACGAUGAUAACUCGAUGUUUGCGAUACACAGUAAGCGUCCAAGCGAAAGCGUUAAGUUAUCCACCUGGGGAGUACGGUCGCAAGAUUGAAACUCAAAGGAAUUGACGGGGGCCCGCACAAGCGGAGGAGCAUGUGGUUUAAUUCGAUGAUACGCGAGGAACCUUACCCGGGCUUGAAAGUUAGUGAAUGAUCCAGAGACGGAUCAGUCCUUCGGGACACGAAACUAGGUGCUGCAUGGCUGUCGUCAGCUCGUGCCGUGAGGUGUUGGGUUAAGUCCCGCAACGAGCGCAACCCCUAUGUUUAGUUGCCAGCAUGUAAUGAUGGGGACUCUAAACAGACUGCCAGCGUAAGCUGUGAGGAAGGUGGGGACGACGUCAAGUCAUCAUGGCCCUUACGUCCGGGGCUACACACGUGCUACAAUGGACGGUACAGCGGGCAGCUACAUAGCAAUAUGAUGCUAAUCUCUAAAAGCCGUUCACAGUUCGGAUUGAGGUCUGCAACUCGACCUCAUGAAGUUGGAUUCGCUAGUAAUCGCGUAUCAGCAAUGACGCGGUGAAUACGUUCCCGGGCCUUGUACACACCGCCCGUCA